UUCAAGAAUGAACUUUCCACACUACAUUUUCUCCGAAAACUCCUAACUCAACUUUCUCCUAUCAAAGAAAAAACAAACCAUACCCCAUCGUCAUUAUUUUCCCCGAAACCCAAGUUGCCUCUCUUAAAUUCCCAGAGCAACGCGCAAUUGUUAAAGAAAAUCCAGGCAACUCCCACAACCAGAUUUAGCAUUCAAAUUUCAAUACGUUGACGUACAAUCUCUAAUAUUCCCCUCAUUUUAUGGAAAAUCAUUUUUUUCUUUCUUAGUAAACUCAUUUCAAGUCUAUAUAAAGGAAAUGCUUGUCCUAAGCUCAGUAGGCUGUCUGUGGAUUCGUGGGUUUUGAGGGUCCUCUGCAAAACAUGGCCAAGAUGGGUACUUCUUCCAGGGUAGCAGCAGCUAUUGUUGUAGUGUUGGGUUUGGUUUUGAGCUUGGCAGUGGUGUGUAAUGGAGGCAAAACAAGUAGUUUUGUGAGGAAAGUGGAGAAAACUGCGGACAUGCCUCUUGACAGUGAUGUCUUUAAAGUCCCUCCUGGCUAUAACGCACCUCAACAAGUACAUAUAACACAAGGAGACCAGCUGGGAAAAGCAGUGAUUGUGUCAUGGGUCACGGUGGAGGAACCAGGUUCCAAUACAGUGCUUUACUGGAGCGCAUACAGCAAGAAACAGAAAUCUGAGGGCAAAGUUACAACCUAUAAAUUCUACAAUUACACUUCUGGUUACAUUCAUCACACGACCAUCAGAAAUUUAAAGUUCAAUACCAAAUACUACUAUGUGGUUGGAAUUGGCCACACUGAGCGGCAGUUUUGGUUUAUAACUCCUCCUGAAGUUGGGCCAGACGUCCCUUACACAUUUGGUCUCAUAGGGGAUCUGGGUCAGAGCUUUGAUUCCAAUAAGACGCUUACUCAUUAUGAGUUAAACCCACAGAAAGGACAAGCAGUAUUGUUUGUUGGGGACCUCUCUUAUGCAGAUAACUACCCAAAUCAUGAUAAUGUCAGGUGGGAUACAUGGGGAAGAUUCACUGAGAGAAGUGUUGCGUAUCAACCCUGGAUAUGGACUGCAGGGAAUCAUGAAAUUGAUUUUGCCCCAGAAAUUGGUGAAACCAAACCUUUUAAGCCUUACACUCACCGAUAUCAUGUCCCAUAUAAAGCAUCAGGGAGUACUGCUCCCUUUUGGUACUCAAUCAAGAGAGCUUCAGCAUACAUCAUAGUCUUGUCUUCUUAUUCAGCAUAUGGUAAAUACACUCCUCAGUGAACAUGGCUUGAACAGGAGCUACCAAAGGUUAACAGAAGUGAGACACCAUGGUUGAUUGUUUUAAUGCAUUCACCAUGGUAUAAUAGUUACAACUAUCACUAUAUGGAAGGCGAAACCAUGAGAGUGAUGUAUGAGCCAUGGUUUGUGCAGUACAAGGUUGACGUGGUAUUUGCUGGUCAUGUCCAUGCCUAUGAGCGAUCUGAACGUAUAUCCAAUGUUGCAUACAACAUUGUAAAUGGUAUUUGCAUUCCCGUGAAAGAUCAAUCCGCACCGGUCUACAUUACCAUUGGUGAUGGAGGAAAUCUUGAAGGCUUAGCAACCAAUAUGACAGAACCCCAGCCGGCUUACUCAGCUUAUAGAGAGGCCAGUUUUGGUCAUGCUACUUUCGACAUCAAGAACCGAACCCAUGCAUACUAUGGUUGGCACCGGAAUCAAGAUGGAUAUGCAGUAACAGCUGAUUCUAUGUGGUUUUUCAACAGAUACCAUCAUCCUGUUGAUGAUUCCACAAGUGCCCAAUAAUUAGAAGACGUUAUGUUGCUAUUGUUCUCUUGAAUAAGCACCCAAAUGUAUCAGCUAAUAAAAGAUUCAAUAGUUUAUACCUUCCCCCAACUCUUACAAAUUUGAAUCUCAUUUAUUUUGUACUUUUUGAAGAAAAAGAAAAACCUAAUAGAAGGAGUAUCUGCAUCAUA